rnacentral:misc_RNA from 1 species
GAUGAAGAACGUAGCGAAAUGCGAUACGUAAUGUGAAUUGCAGAAUUCAGUGAAUCAUCGAGUCUUUGAACGCACAUUGCGCCCCCUGGUAUUCCGGGGGGCAUGCCUGUCCGAGCGUCAUUGCUGCCCUCAAGCACGGCUUGUGUGUUGGGCCUCCGUCCUCCUCCCGGGGGACGGGCCCGAAAGGCAGCGGCGGCACCGCGUCCGGUCCUCGAGCGUAUGGGGCUUAGUCACCCGCUCUUGUAGGCCCGGUCGGCGCUUGCCGACACAUCAAUCUUUUUUCCAGGUUGACCUCGGAUCAGGUAGGGAUACCCGCUGAACUUAAGCAUAUCAAUAAGCGGAGGA